UGGGGGAUAUUGCACAAUGGGCGAAAGCCUGAUGCAGCGACGCCGCGUGGGGGAUGAAGGCUCUCGGGUUGUAAACCUCUUUCGCUAUCGAACAAGGCCCGCUUAGGGUGGGUUGAGGGUAGGUGGAGAAGAAGCGCCGGCUAACUACGUGCCAGCAGCCGCGGUAAUACGUAGGGCGCGAGCGUUGUACGGAAUUAUUGGGCGUAAAGGGCUUGUAGGCGGCUUGUUGCGCCUGCUGUGAAAACGCGGGGCUUAACUUCGCGCGUGCAGUGGGUACGGGCAGGCUUGAGUGUGGUAGGGGGGACUGGAAUUCCAGGUGUAGCGGUGGAAUGCGCAGAUAUCUGGAGGAGCACCGAUGGCGAAGGCAGGUCACUGGGCCAUUACUGACGCUGAGGAGCGAAAGCAUGGGUAGCGAACAGG
rnacentral:rRNA from 1 species